rnacentral:rRNA from 1 species
ACGAACGCUGGCGGCGUGCCUAACACAUGCAAGUCGCGCGAGAAAGUGGGGGCAACUCCAUGAGUAAAGCGGCGCACGGGUGAGUAAUACGUAGGUAACCUGCCCUCGAGACCGGGAUAACCUUCCGAAAGGAGGGCUAAUACCGGAUAAGACCACGAAGUUUCGGCUUCGGGGUCAAAGGUGGCCUCUGCAUGCAAGCUAUCACUCGAAGAUGGGCCUGCGCACCAUUAGCUAGUUGGCGAGGUAACGGCUCACCAAGGCGAAGAUGGUUAGCUGGUCUGAGAGGAUGACCAGCCACACUGGGACUGAGACACGGCCCAGACUCCUACGGGAGGCAGCAGUGGGGAAUAUUGGACAAUGGGGGAAACCCUGAUCCAGCGACGCCGCGUGGGUGAUGAAGGCCUUCGGGUCGUAAAGCCUUGUCUGGGGGACGAAUCCCCG